CCGACGGUGAGGGAUGAAUGCUGGGGGCGCAAACCGGAUUAGAUACCCGGGUAGUCCCAGCAGUAAACGAUGCCAGCUAUGUGUUGCUGGAACCAUGGGUUCCAGCAGUGCCGAAUGGAAGCCGUGAAGCUGGCCACCUGGGAAGUACGGUCGCAAGGCUGAAACUUAAAGGAAUUGGCGGGGGAGUACCACAACCGGUGGAGCCUGCGGUUUAAUUGGAUACAACGCCGGGAAUCUUACCGGAGGUGGACAGCAGUAUGAAGGCCAGGCUAAGGACCUUGCCAGAUCAGCUGAGAGGAGGUGCAUGGCCGUCGCCAGUUCGUACCGUGAGGCAUCCUGUUUAGUCAGGCAACGAUCGAGACCCGCAGUCUUAUUUGCCAGCAUGCCCUUUGGGGUGUAUGGGUACAAUAAGACGACCGCCAGCGCUAAGCUGGAGGAAGGAGCGGGCUACGGUAGGUCAGCAUGCCCCGAAUCCUCCGGGAUACACGCGGGCUACAAUGGUCAGGACAAAAGGUACCGACCUCGAAAGAGUGAGGUAAUCCACAAACCUGAUCUCAGUCCGGAUCGAAGGCUGCAACUCGCCUUCGUGAAGAUGGAAUCGGUAGUAAUCGUGACUCAUGAAUGUCACGGUGAAUAUGUCCCUGCUCCUUGCACACACCGGCCG
rnacentral:rRNA from 1 species